GGACAGGUGGCCGAGUGGUUGAAGGCGCACGCCUGGAAAGUGUGUAUACGGGGAACCGUAUCGCGGGUUCGAAUCCCGCCCUGUCCG
rnacentral:tRNA from 1 species